rnacentral:rRNA from 1 species
AUAUUGCACAACGGGCGAAAGCCUGAUGCAGCAACGCCGCGUGAGUGAUGAAGUCCUUCGGGUUGUAAAGCUCUUUGAUCAGGGAUGAUAAUGACAGUCCCUGAAAAACAAGCCAAGGCGAAAUACGUGCCAGCAGCCGCGGGAAUACGUAGGUUGCGAGCUUUGUCCGGAAUUACUGGGAGCAAAGGAUGCGUAGGUGGAUACUUAAGUGGGAUGUGAAAUCCCCGGGCUCAACCCGGGAACUGCAUUCCAAACUGGGUAUCUAGAGUGCAGGAGAGGAAAGCGGAAUUCCUAGUGUAGCGGUGAAAUGCGUAGAUAUUAGGAGGAACACCAGUGGCGAAGGCGGCUUUCUGGACUGUAACUGACACUGAGGCAUGAAAGCGUGGGUAGCAAACAGG